CCCAUCACACACCCCUGGGGUCAGACACAGAGUUAAUCUCCACACCGUCCCAUCACACACCCCUGGGGUCAGACACAGAGUUAAUCUCCACACCGUCCCAUCACACACCCCUGGGGUCAGACACAGAGUUAAUCUCCACACCGUCCCAUCACACACCCCUGGGGUCAGACACAGAGUUAAUCUCCCUCCACACUGUCCCAUCACACACUCCCGGGGUCAGACACAGAGUGAAGCUCCCUCCACACCGUCCCAUCACACACUCCCGGGGUCAGACACAGAGUGAAACUCCCUCCACACCGUCCCAUCACACACUCCUGGGGUCAGACACAGAGUGAAUCUCCCUCCACACCGUCCCAUCACACACUCCCGGGGUCAGACACAGAGUGAAUCUCCCUCCACACCGUCCCAUCACACACUCCCAGGGUCAGACACAGAGUGAAGCUCCCUCCACACCGUCCCAUCACACACUCCCAGGGUCAGACACACAGUGAAUCUCCCUCCACACCGACCCAUCACACACUCCCGGGGUCAGACACAGAGUGAAGCUCCCUCCACAUCGUCCCAUCACACACUCCCGGGGUCAGACACAGAGUGAAGCUCCCUCCACACCGUCCCAUCGCACACUCCCGGGGUCAGACACAGAGUGAAGCUCCCUUUAUUGCCCCAUGGCCCCGUGCUGCAGCAUUUGAUUGUAAUUAUUAUUAUUAUUUUUUUAAAACAUGGCCAAGACAUUAGUCCAAUGCUCAAUCGUACGAGGAGCCGGCUGGAUUCGAACCCACGACCAUUGGCCUUUAAGUCCGGUGCUGAUGCCACUACACCACCAGCCAGCAGCAGGAGACCGCACAUUCACCUGUGCAAGAUCGCCUCUCAAUCUCCCUCCCCCCAUCAUUCAGGAAUUAAGAACUUGAGGGCACAGGCUUAAGGUGAGGUGGUUUACUCAGAACCCGAGCGUCGUUUUCACAGAGAGGGAGAGAGGGAUGUGGAGUGGGCGGAUAGAGAAAGUGGCGGAGGCGGAUUUGAUUACAACAUUGAAAAGACACGGACCCGGAGCAAACAAGGGGCUCGUGGAUGAAAGGAGGUCUGUGAUUCGUGGAGCUCUGCAGGGAUACAAGCCGGGACCUCGACUGUCUGCGAUGGAUACAAAUGACCUGGAUGGAAAUGUCGAUGAGUGGGCUGGGCGCUCACGGUCCCAGGGCGACCUCCGAUGCAGAACAGCGGCACCGAGAAACGGGUUGAAGCGCACCCAACCCAAAACGCCGAAGGGAGCCAGCAAAUCGCAGAGGAAUAAAUAGUCGACAUUUCGGUCCCCCCAGCGGCGUGGCAGGUGGAGCUGUCCCCCUCAGAGUGCCGGAGAUUGGGGUUCAACCCCCACCUCUGGUGCCCCCCUGUGCCACUCUCCCCCUGACAGUGUCUCUGAUUUAAUUGCCCCUCAACAGCUUGAGGGAGGGGUGAAAUUGGGGGUGGGAAUUGAUGGGGAUGGGAGGGAUGAAAUGAGUUUGGUGGAAGAGGUUGCCGUGACUGUCAGAAUUAAACCAUUUGCCCGAUCAAUCCUGGCUGAUUUAUUAUCCCUCCCAACCCCAUUCUUCUGCCUUUGCCCCAUAACCCCCAACACCCUGACUAAUCAAGACUAUCAACCUCCGCUUUAAAUAUACCAGCGACUUGGCAUCCACUCUGCCUGUAGUAAUUUAUUCACCUUCCAGCUAAAGAAAUUCCUCCUCAUUUCUGAUCUAAGGAAACGUCCUUGUAUUCUGAGACUGUGCCCCCGGUCCUCGAGGAAACCACCUCUCCAUUUCCGUGCUACCUAUCUCAACAGGCCUUACGAUUUGCAUUUGCUGCAUUGCAUUCCCCACAGAUUCUCCACCCCUCAAUAAAGACAUUGAUGGCUGACACGAACAUGAAGUGUUCUGUUUCCUUCCUUACAUCCCUACGCAAGGGUGGAUAUAAUGAGAUUUUCUGCAACAAAAAGAAGUGGACGAGGGCAGGGUUAGACUCGACAGGCCAGAGGGCCCAGCUCUGCAUUGCACAACCCAUCAUGUAUUUCUCAAAGAGAGCAGAACAUUUGCAAAACUAUUUCUCCCUCUGACGACCUGCCCAGGAACUGAUUCCGUUAAGAGCUGAGUCACUCAGCACAGAUAACACCCAUCCAGUGUGUCCCAACCCUCUCCCGUCCGCAGCCCUCCCACUGGCGUUACCAAGCAGUCCGGGGUUACCAAGGGAAAUCCAGAGCUCGGGACCCAGAUUCCCAAUCUCGCCCCCCCCCCCCCAGGAAAUGGGAAGACCCUCACCCUACAUAUCUCAGCUCAGCCUCCAGAUCCAAUGGGAGUGAAUGGGAAGGGGUGGGGACCCAUUGGGAGUGUGGACGGUGGGAGUGAA